UGGGGAAUAUUGGACAAUGGGCGAAAGCCUGAUCCAGCCAUGCCGCGUGUGUGAAGAAGGUCUUCGGAUUGUAAAGAACUUUAAGAUGGGAGGAAGGGCAUUAACCUAAUACGUUAGUGUUUUGUCGUUACCGACAGAAUAAGCACCGGCUAACUCUGUGCUAGCAGCCGCGGUAAUACAGAGGGUGCAAGCGUUAAUCGGAAUUACUGGGCGUAAAGCGCGCGUAGGUGGUUUGUUAAGUUGGAUGUGAAAUCCCCGGGCUCAACCUGGGAACUGCAUUCAAAACUGACUGACUAGAGUAUGGUAGAGGGUGGUGGAAUUUCCUGUGUAGCGGUGAAAUGCGUAGAUAUAGGAAGGAACACCAGUGGCGAAGGCGACCACCUGGACUAAUACUGACACUGAGGUGCGAAAGCGUGGGGAGCAAACA
rnacentral:rRNA from 1 species